GGCACGGUGGCACAGUGGGUAGUGCUGUUGCCUCACAGGAUGAAGGUUGCGGGUUCAUAUCCAGCCUGGGACC